rfam:Heterocephalus glaber contig67909, whole genome shotgun sequence.
GGAUGUGAGGGCAAUCGGGCUGCGACAUCUGUUACCCCACUGAUUGCCAGAGUCGAUCCAGCUGCUCUGGCUGCUAGGCAGGGGCCCCCUUCUUCCCUCAUCACUGCAUGUGCAUGUGUGUCCCUCCCAAAGCUGUGUGCUUGGUGGAAGAGAAUGACCACCCUCGAUAGAGGAAGCCCAUUUCCUCGGUCAAGGAUAUACAAUUGUGCUCCCCUCCUAGAACCUCCAAACAAGCUCAUGAUAGCUCUAAGAAAAAUGAAAUAUUUAGGAAUUAUCCCACCCAAGGAAUUGAAAGACCUU